AGAGUUUGAUCCUGGCUCAGAUUGAACGCUGGCGGCAUGCUUUACACAUGCAAGUCGAGCGGCAGCGCGGGGGCAACCCUGGCGGCGAGCGGCGAACGGGUGAGUAAUACAUCGGAACGUGUCCCGUAGUGGGGGAUAGCCCGGCGAAAGCCGGAUUAAUACCGCAUAUGCUCUACGGAGGAAAGCGGGGGAUUCGCAAGAACCUCGCGCUAUGGGAGCGGCCGAUGUCCGAUUAGCUUGUUGGUGAGGUAAAGGCUCACCAAGGCGACGAUCGGUAGCUGGUCUGAGAGGAUGAUCAGCCACACUGGGACUGAGACACGGCCCAGACUCCUACGGGAGGCAGCAGUGGGGAAUUUUGGACAAUGGGGGAAACCCUGAUCCAGCCAUGCCGCGUGAGUGAAGAAGGCCUUCGGGUUGUAAAGCUCUUUUGGCCGGAAAGAAAAGAUCUCGUCUAAUAAACGAGGUUCUUGACGGUACCGGCAGAAUAAGCACCGGCUAACUACGUGCCAGCAGCCGCGGUAAUACGUAGGGUGCGAGCGUUAAUCGGAAUUACUGGGCGUAAAGAGUGCGUAGGCGGUUCUUUGUGUCCGCUGUGAAAUCCCCGGGCUUAACCUGGGAAUGGCAGUGGAAACUAGAGGACUUGAAUCCGGCAGAGGGGGGUGGAAUGCCACGUGUAGCAGUGAAAUGCGUAGAUAUGUGGCGGAACACCGAUGGCGAAGGCAGCCCCCUGGGCUGAGAUUGACGCUCAGGCACGAAAGCGUGGGGAGCAAACAGGAUUAGAUACCCCCGUAGUCC
rnacentral:rRNA from 1 species